rnacentral:rRNA from 1 species
UGGGGAAUAUUGCACAAUGGGCGCAAGCCUGAUGCAGCCAUGCCGCGUGUGUGAAGAAGGCCUUCGGGUUGUAAAGCACUUUCAGCGAGGAGGAAGGUGGUGAGCUUAAUACGCUCAUCAAUUGACGUUACUCGCAGAAGAAGCACCGGCUAACUCCGUGCCAGCAGCCGCGGUAAUACGGAGGGUGCAAGCGUUAAUCGGAAUUACUGGGCGUAAAGCGCACGCAGGCGGUUUGUUAAGUCAGAUGUGAAAUCCCCGGGCUCAACCUGGGAACUGCAUUUGAAACUGGCAAGCUAGAGUCUCGUAGAGGGGGGUAGAAUUCCAGGUGUAGCGGUGAAAUGCGUAGAGAUCUGGAGGAAUACCGGUGGCGAAGGCGGCCCCCUGGACGAAGACUGACGCUCAGGUGCGAAAGCGUGGGGCAGCAAACAGGAUUAGAUACCCUGGUAGUCCACGCUGUAAAACGAUGUCGAUUUGGAGGUUGUGCCCUUGAGGCGUGGCUUCCGGAGCUAACGCGUUAAAUCGACCG